rnacentral:rRNA from 1 species
GAUGAACGCUGGCGGCGUGCCUAAUACAUGCAAGUCGAGCGAACAGACGAGGAGCUUGCUCCUCUGACGUUAGCGGCGGACGGGUGAGUAACACGUGGAUAACCUACCUAUAAGACUGGGAUAACUUCGGGAAACCGGAGCUAAUACCGGAUAAUAUAUUGAACCGCAUGGUUCAAUAGUGAAAGACGGUUUUGCUGUCACUUAUAGAUGGAUCCGCGCCGCAUUAGCUAGUUGGUAAGGUAACGGCUUACCAAGGCAACGAUGCGUAGCCGACCUGAGAGGGUGGUCGGCCACACUGGAACGGAGACAGGGUCCAGACUCCUGCGAGAGGCAGCAGUCGGGAAUCUUCCGCAAUGGGGGAGAGCCUGACGGAGCAACGGCGCGUGAGUGAUGAAGGUCUUCGGAUCGUAAAACUCUGUUAUUAGGGAAGAACAAAUGUGUAAGUAACUAUGCACGUCUUGACGGUACCGAAUCAGAAAGCCACGGCUAACUACGUG